CAGCAACACUCUGUGGCAGGUGGAUCAAAACUGUCUGACAUAAUUUGCGCUUGCUAGAGCAAGAAAUUCUAACCUAUUCCAGUGUUCUCUUCUCCAUGAGACACACCAUUGCAUGCAUUUAAAGAGC